ensembl:rRNA 5S_rRNA 5S ribosomal RNA
GUCUACAGCCAUACCACCCUGAACGCCCCCAAUCUCGUCUGAUCUUGGAAGCUAAGCAGGGUUGGGCCUGGUUAAUACUUGGAUGGGAGAAAGAAGUUAACAAGAGCAUUGCACA